AAAAAAAUUUUAAAUAAAGUAUAUNNNNNNNNNNNNNNNNNNNNNUAAAUAUUUUAAUGGGGGUUAGAGUAUUUUAAUAGAAAAAAUUUUAAAAUUUAUAGUAAAUUAGUAUUGUGAAAGAAAUUAUGAAAUAAGUUAAAAAAAAAUUAGUAAAAAGUAAUUUUAAUUUAGUGUAUCUUGUGUAUCAGAGUUUAUUAAUAAUUUUUUUUGAAUAAAAAUUCUCGAAUUUAAGAGAGAUAAUUAAUUAUAAAAGUUAUUGUUGCAAAAAUAUUUUUAAUAAUUAAUUUGAAAUGAGAUGUUAAUCGUUCUUAAAUAUAUCUAGUUUUUUUAGAAAAAAAUUUAAUUUUAAAAUUAAAUAAUAAAAAAUUAAUUAAUUAAUUUUUUAUUAUUUAAUUUUUAUAUUCUAAGGGAUAAGCUUUAGAUUAAAUUUAUAUAAUUACAUUAAAAUUGAAUUUGAAAAUUGUAUAAUUUAUAUUGUUAAUAAAAUUUAUUUUAUUAUAAAUAAUUUCAAGUAAAAUAAAAUUUAAUUUAAUUUAUUUUUUUUUAUAAAAAAAUAAUUUUUAAUUAAAUAAAAUUAAUUAUAAUGAUAAGAUUAGUAUAUAAAAUAAAAUAAUAAAAUUAAUUUUAUUAGAUUAAAAAAAAUUAUUUAAAAGGAAUUCGGCAAAAUUUUAUAUUCACUUGUUUAUCAAAAACAUGUCUUUUUGAAAAUAAUAUAAAGUCUAAUCUGCCCANNNNNNNNNNNNNNAAUUGAAGGGCUGCAGUAUUUUGACUGUACAAAGGUAGCAUAAUCAUUAGUCAUUUAAUUGAUGACUUGUAUGAAAGAUUGNNNNNNNNNAAACUGUCUCUUAAAUAAUUAUAGAAUUUAAUUUUUAAAUUAAAAAGUUUAAAUAAUUUAAAAAGACGAGAAGACCCUAUAGAGUUUUAUAAUUAAGUAAAUUAAUUUUAUUUAUAAAUUUAAAUUUUUUUAAUUUAAUUAAUUAUUUUAUUGGGGUGAUAAAAAAAUAUAAAAAACUUUUUAUAAAGUUUAACAUAAAUAAGUGAUUAAAUGAUCCAAUAUUAUUGAUUAUAAGAUUAAAUUACCUUAGGGAUAACAGCGUAAUUUAUUUUUUUAGUUCAUAUAAAAAAAUAAGUUUGCGACCUCGAUGUUGGAUUAAGAUAAAAAUUAAAUGCAAAAGUUUAAAAUUUUGAUCUGUUCGAUCAUUAAAAUCUUACAUGAUCUGAGUNGACCGGUGUAAGCCAGGUUGGUUUCUAUCUUUUAAAAUAAAAAAUAUUUUAGUACGAAAGGAUCAAAUAUUUAAAUUAAAUUUAAAAGUUGAAUAUUAAUAAAUUGAAUGUUUAUAAUAAUUAGUAAAUUAGUU
rnacentral:rRNA from 1 species